GUGCUCGCUUCGGCAGCACAUAUACUAAAAUUGGAACAAUACAGAGAUUAGCAUGGCCUCUGCGCAAAGAUGAAAAAAAAUACUUAAUUAAAAAAAGUAUAGAAUA
ensembl:snRNA U6 U6 spliceosomal RNA